rnacentral:rRNA from 1 species
AACGAACGCUGGCGGCAUGCCUAACACAUGCAAGUCGAACGAGACCUUCGGGUCUAGUGGCGCACGGGUGCGUAACGCGUGGGAACCUGCCCUUAGGUUCGGAAUAACUCCCCGAAAGGGGUGCUAAUACCGGAUAAUGUCUUCGGACCAAAGAUUUAUCGCCUUUGGAUGGGCCCGCGUUGGAUUAGCUAGUUGGUAGGGUAAAAGCCUACCAAGGCGACGAUCCAUAGCUGGUCUGAGAGGAUGAUCAGCCACACUGGGACUGAGACACGGCCCAGACUCCUACGGGAGGCAGCAGUGGGGAAUAUUGGACAAUGGGCGAAAGCCUGAUCCAGCAAGGACGCGUGAGUGAUGAAGGCCUUAGGGUUGUAAAGCUCUUUUAACCGGGAUGAUAAUGACAGUACCGGGAGAAUAAGCGCCGGCUAACUCCGUG